AUUGAACGCUGGAGGCAGGCCUAACACAUGCAAGUCGAGCGAACGGCGGACGGGUGAGUAAUGUCUGGGAAACUGCCUGAUGGAGGGGGAUAACUACUGGAAACGGUAGCUCAUACCGCAUACCAUCAGAUGUUCCCAGAUGGGAUUAGCGAGUAGGUGGGGUAACGGCUCACCUAGGCGACGAUCCCUCGCUGGUCUGAGAGGAUGACCAGCCACAUUGGGACUGAGAUACGGCCCGGACUCCUACGUGAGGCAGCAGUGGGGAAUAUUGCGCAAUGGGGGCAACCCUGACGCAGCCAUGCCGCGUGAAUGAAGAAGGCCUUCGGGGUGUAAAGUUCUUUCGGUAUUGAGGCGUUAAAUACAGAAGAAGCACCGGCUAACUCCGUGCCAGCAGCCGCGGUAAUAC
rnacentral:rRNA from 1 species